UGCUAGCCUCACAUUACUGUGGGAGCUAGGUGGUUUCAAAAUGGCUCUCAUGUCUCUGCUUUACAUCGCAGCAUGACACACAGACGCACGCCAAGUCUUGAGUUAAAGACUCGAGUUGUUCUGGGCACGUGUGUGUCCUGCUGCUGGCAGCCUGGAGCCACAGGUGCUGUUCACUUCACUCCUGAGAGAGUGCAGUUUCAACAGCAAAGCUGCUGAUGCAAAUGGAGCAGAAUUAAAAGCUUGGGAAUAAAUUAAUAAAUUAACUCAGUGGCUUCAACAUUUGUCAUCCUGCUAUGCAGCCAACCCUGUUUAUUUAAAUCACUCAUCACUGAUCGCACCUCAGAUUCCUG